CCUACGUGAGGCAGCAGUGAGGAAUAUUGGUCAAUGGGCGCGAGCCUGAACCAGCCAAGUAGCGUGAAGGAUGACUGCCCUACGGGUUGUAAACUUCUUUUAUAAAGGAAUAAAGUGAGGCACGUGUGCCUUUUUGUAUGUACUUUAUGAAUAAGGAUAGGCUAACUCCGUGCCAGCAGCCGCAGUAAUACGGAGGAUCCGAGCGUUAUCCGGAUUUAUUGGGUUUAAAGGGAGCGUAGAUGGGUUGUUAUGUUAGUUGUGAAAGUUUGCGGCUCAACCGUAAAAUUGCAAUUGAUACUGGCAGUCUUGAGUACAGUUGAGGUAGGCGGAAUUCGUGGUGUAGCGGUGAAAUGCUUAGAUAUCACGAAGAACUCCGAUUGCGAAGGCAGCUUACUAAACUGCCACUGACAUUGAUGCUCGAAAGUGUGGGUAUCAAACAGGAUUAGAUACCCGGGUAGUC
rnacentral:rRNA from 1 species